rnacentral:rRNA from 1 species
UACGAAGGGUGCUAGCGUUGUUCGGAAUUACUGGGCGUAAAGAGCGCGUAGGCGGUCAUACAAGUCAGGGGUGAAAUCCCACAGCUUAACUGUGGAACUGCCUUUGAAACUGUAUGGCUGGAGUGUGUGAGGGGAUAGCGGAAUUCCUAAUGUAGAGGUGAAAUUCGUAGAUAUUAGGAGGAACACCGGUGGCGAAGGCGGCUAUCUGGCACACAACUGACGCUGAGGCGCGAAAGCGUGGGGAUCAAACAGG